rnacentral:rRNA from 1 species
UACGGGGGGGGCAAGCGUUGUUCGGAAUUACUGGGCGUAAAGGGCGCGUAGGCGGCCUUCUAAGUCAGACGUGAAAUCCCUCGGCUCAACCGAGGAACUGCGUCUGAUACUGGAAGGCUUGAAUCCGGGAGAGGGAUGUGGAAUUCCAGGUGUAGCGGUGAAAUGCGUAGAUAUCUGGAGGAACACCGGUGGCGAAGGCGGCAUCCUGGACCGGUAUUGACGCUGAGGCGCGAAAGCGUGGGUAGCAAACGGG